UAGGGAAUCUUCCGCAAUGGGCGAAAGCCUGACGGAGCAACGCCGCGUGAGUGAUGAAGGUCUUCGGAUCGUAAAACUCUGUUAUUAGGGAAGAACAAAUGUGUAAGUAACUAUGCACGUCUUGACGGUACCUAAUCAGAAAGCCACGGCUAACUACGUGCCAGCAGCCGCGGUAAUACGUAGGUGGCAAGCGUUAUCCGGAAUUAUUGGGCGUAGAGCGCGCGUAGGCGGUUUUUUAAGUCUGAUGUGAAAGCCCACGGCUCAACCGUGGAGGGUCAUUGGAAACUGGAAAACUUGAGUGCAGAAGAGGAAAGUGGAAUUCCAUGUGUAGCGGUGAAAUGCGCAGAGAUAUGGAGGAACACCAGUGGCGAAGGCGACUUUCUGGUCUGUAACUGACGCUGAUGUGCGAAAGCGUGGGGAUCAAACAGG
rnacentral:rRNA from 1 species